ACAACAAAUCAACAAAACCAACAUUUAUGCAAUCCACGACAAAUCAGGGUUUUUACAUUAAUGUUAUCCACGGGUCGAAACCAAGUGGAUUGUAUUGGUAUGAAGUUAAUUACUUACUAUUCGUUGCAGGUGGAGCGCGCGUCGGCCAAAAAUUUCCAGAUGGCGUGGGUUUUAUCACCAUUGUAGGUAACAGGCGUCUUCUCAUGGCCCAUGGAUAUACCUUCUCCCAGACAGCCCUGAACUACUGGUACUGCUCCAAGAAACACAAAGGCUGCAAGGCGAGGGUCAGCCUGACUGCGGACGAGAAAGAAGUGGCGUCCUGCUGCUUUGAACAUGACCAUCCCCCGCCUGUGUACAAACGCCUUCAAAGUGGGCUGUAUAAAAAGAUGUCCAGUUAAGACGAACAAGAUGAUAAUGACGAAUCUGGCGCAGCGACCCAAAAUACAGAAGUGAAAUUUAUUCAGUUAUCAAAGAAAAAACGCCUGCUGAUGGCCAACAAGUAUACCUUUGCUCAAACGUCUGCGAGACACUGGUACUGCUCCAAGAGGCUGAAAGGCUGUGAAGCGAGGAUCUUCCUCAACAAAGACGAGACUGAGGUGGUGUACAGCAAAAAUGACCAUAACCAUAAACCCCCAGUGUAUUGUCAGAUGAAUUCUGGUUACUACAUGAAGAUUACCAGUUGAUUAAAAAAAUAAUAUUUUUUUCAUUUACAUUUUGAAUUGCAUGCGAUAUGAUAGGGCUUGCCUAUAAGAAAACAUUUUUCAU